UUUGUUUUGAUCUGUGCAUGGAAGGUUAUCUAUUUAUGGAUUUGUUUUAGUUUCAUAUUCACUCUUCUUCUUGCCCUUCUUUUCCUACUCUAUGCUCCCUCACUGCUGUUCUUCAUUUCUGCAUUUCUUUUUUAUGUAUAUGUAUGUAAACUUAAAUAGCUGUUCUGCUUCUCGGUAGUAUUCUGCUUACUCUUAUGUUAACUUAUGUUACUUCACUCGGCUUAUCGCCAGCCCCCUUCGGCUCCGUUGCUGGCGAGCGUUUUUAUAGCUCGCUCGCUCUCCUAUUGGGCUCUGCCUUUGCAGCUUGCGUGUUAUCUCUCUCCCCCGCUUUCACUCUCUGCCUAUGCGCGCAUCACCUUUGGCUCCGCUCGCCCUCUUUAUUUUUUUGGUGCAUUACCCUUGCAGCUCUGAGUAUUGAACUCCAACAACACACUAACUCUUCCCUUCCCUAUGUACUGCGGAUCUUAAUUGGGCCUUGUUAACUGUAUUUGCCAUACGGCACGUUUAGGUAGGAUUUGCGCUAUUUUCCACCUUUUUCUCCGUUCUUAUUUCGCCGGUGCUGAACUUUCCGCUAUCGCGGAUUAUCGACCGUCCCGCUUUGUGGCCGCCGCCUCACCGACGUCGAUCCGGCUGCCCGCGAAGGUCGAGCCUCUCUGAAUUUUUUCUGCGUCUCUGCUCCCUCGCUCUGUGCUGCGACGGAUCAGCUGCUUGGAGCGCCGCUGCUUCGCCAGCCCAAAUUGCUAGGCGCCAAAUCUAGUGCAGGGAGAAAGAACCGUCUAACGUAUUCGGCCCCGAAAGAUCUGUGGUAUCCCACUUUUUGUUCCUCUUACCCGUCAAUCUUGGCCCCAGUGGCCGACCUAGCUUCAGUUAUCGUAGUCCCGCGACUUUUGCUUUGCUGCUGCUGGAUACCACUCGCGCUUUGACAAUAUUCUUUUCUUGACUUUGGAACUUUUUCGUUAAUGAUUUUUGCUGAGCCUGUUCGGGGCGAUGUUGGUCGCUCGACAUCCAAAUUCCAAAAGGAAGAUGGACACGCUCCCAUCCACUAUGAGACCGGUCGGAUCCGCUGGAUGACGUUCGAAUGUCAUCGCUUUCUCCUCUUUCUCUUCACCUGCCAUCAGCGUUAACUCACCCCCAGAGGGAGCCAACCUUUCAGAGCACCGUUUAAGAGCCCCUGUCAAAAACCCGCUGUAGCAGCGAGACUAUGGCUGCCCAUACAACGCCGUUGGCGGUCAAUUUAGUUUACGCCCUCAGCUACAAGCCUCUUACAAUAUAUAUAACACAUUUCCCUAGCAAUAUUAUACUCAGAACUAAUUAAACAUACCUAAUAUCCUAAGUAAACAA